AUGUGGGGGCCUCCAGGGGACCUCAAGGUGGGGAACCUCCCAGUGAGGGCCUCCAGGUGGGGGGCCUCCAGGUGGCAACCUCCAGGUGGGGAACCUCCCAGUGAGGGCCUCCAGGUGGGGGCCACCACGUCGGGGACUCCAGGUCAGGACCUCCAUGUGGGGGCCUCCAUGUGGGGGCCUCCAGGGGACCUCCAGGUGGGGAACCUCCCAGUAAGGGCCUCCAGGUGGGGAGCUUCCAGGUGGGGACCUCCAGGUGGGGACCUCCAAGUGAGGGCCUCCAGGUGGGGGGCCUCCAGGUGGCGACCUCCAGGUGGGGACCUCCAAGUGAGGGCCUCCAGGUGGGGAGCCUCCAGGUGGCAACCUCCAGGUGGGGAACCUCCCAGUGAGGGCCUCCAGGUGGGGGGCCACCACGUCGGAGACUCCAGGUCGGGGCCUCCAGGUCUGGUACCUCGACACACAGGUGGGCGGAGAACUAGGGCUACCCCCCCGCCCCCUCGUCUCCAGCCCGCCCCGGGCGCUGAAGGAUGCGCCGAAGGAUGCUCGGAAGCAGGGACGCGACCCCGACCCCCGUCUGCAGCCUUUGGCAGAGCGAGCCCGGGCGUCCCGGGCGGUGGGGGCAGGUGGCCGGGCGCGGCCGGCAGGUGGCGGAGCGCGCCGGGAGCCCACGUGCGCAGGGGCUGCAGAACUUUUCCGCCGCGUCCCCGGGAGGACCGCCUGGCUUCCACCGGGGCCCCGCGGGGGGGCAGCCCCUCCAGCCCUCCUGGGCCGCGGGCCCGAGCUGCGGGGGGCGGGCGCGGGGCUCAGCCCGGAACAAAGAGAGUCGGGCGCCCGGACCGGCCUCUCCCGUCGGGGCGAUCACGUGUCCUGCCUCCGCCGGAAUGCGCUCCCGCCGCCCACGCCACGGAAACCUCCACCGGGCUUGGAAGCGUCGCCAAGGUUAAAACGGGAUCACGUAGAACCGCUCCCGGCCGCGGGUCCCCGGGUCGGGUCCGACCCAGUUCGCAGCGCAGGUGGCUCCCAGGUGCUCCCCGCGCGGAGGCAAAGUGGCCGCGGAGGGCAGGUGCGGGCCCUUGGGGGUCGCCGCCCCGCCCCCCGCCCCCCGCCCGCGGCGUCUCUAACUCCUCGGGGAGGGGAACUUCCAGAGGCGCGUGGGAGUCGCAGGUGGCUGCGCUCCGAGGCCCAUCGCGCAUCCCGGGACUUGCGCGAGCGACCCGGUCCGUGCGCCGGGCGCUGCGCCCUCGGGACUCGGCGGGCGGAGCCGCCCCCCCCGCCCCCCGCCCCCCGCCCCGGGCCGAGGAGCAGCCGGAGGAGGCACCUGUGCGGCCGUCGCCCCUGCGAACUCGCGCUAUGUUUCGCGGCAGCCCGUGCGCCCCCGGCCCCGGCCGCUCCCCGCAGGGGGGACCCCGCGCGCGGAGGCUGCAGACGAGCGCGAGCCGCUCCAGGAGCCCCAGGGCACCUCCUGCCCCCGCUGCCCCCCCCCCGGCCGCCGAGGAUCCCCAACGAGUCCCGCAUCCCUCGGGGCUCUCGGGGGACGAGAUGCGGAGGGGGCCCAGCGUGGGUCCGGGCACCGCGCGGGGUCUCCAGCUCCGCCUUUGCAACACAAAGGAGGUGUGUGGGCAGGAGCUGCCCGGCUCCGGGGGCUGGGGGGGGGCACAGGCACCCCCACUGCCCGGGCUCCGUGGCUCCCCCGCUUCCUCGGCCCUCCAACCUGUCGCCCUCGUCGCCCCCUCCAGCCCCCUCCAACCCCACCCUUCC
rnacentral:lncRNA from 12 species